rnacentral:rRNA from 1 species
AUUGAACGCUGCGGCAGGCUUAACACAUGCAAGUCGAGCGAGCGGCGGACGGGUGAGUAAUGCUUAGGAAUUUGCCUAUUAGUGGGGGACAACAUCUCGAAAGGGAUGCUAAUACCGCAUACUAUUAGAUGAGCCUAAGUCGGAUUAGCUAGUUGGUGGGGUAAAGGCCUACCAAGGCGACGAUCUGUAGCGGGUCUGAGAGGAGGAUCCGCCACACGGGGACUGAGACACGCCCCAGACUCCUACGGGAGGCAGCAAUGGUGAAUCUUGGACAAUGGGGGGAUCCCUGAUCCAGCCAUGCCGCGUGUGUGAGGAAGGCCUUAUGGUUGUAAAGCACUUUAAGCGAGGAGGCGUUACUCGCAGGAUAAGCACCGGCUAACUCUGUGCCAGGCGCCACGGUAAUAC